UGUCGCAGCAGGAAACGUCACGGCUGAGUGGCUCCGUGCAGGGAGCAGGUUACAGGGGCAGAAGGACCCAGGCCCUGCCGCGGGGAAACCAUCCAGGUCCGGAUGUGCUGAGCGCACACAGGAAGGACUCCUGUCUUCCCGAGCUCUAGGGACUCUUUGUGAACACCUCCUGAUAAACACACCGAGUGAGGGAUGCCCUGUGGGAAGGGCCAGGACAGGCAGACAGCGCGGGCGGGUUCGAGCCCCACCUUUGGAUGGGAGGCCGGCACCAGACACGCCGCACCGACGGGCCAGCAGAGACUCUCCGAGCACCCGUUUGGCAAACACGUUGAAAAGUCUUUCACGAAGGUUUCUUCUGAGCUCUCAGCUCUCAGUUCCCUGGCUGUGGCCUAGGCCCUCACUCUCCAGCUGAUGCACAAUAUCGGCAUCCACCCAGCUGACCUCAGUCUGUUCUCCGCCUCCAGUGCUGUCUCUCAAUUAUUUUUGGCAAACAAGGCUCUCAAUUUUAAUAAUAUGCAGAUCAGAUGGUACCAGGAACAUGUAAAAACAGCCACGUAAUGCUACAAAAACAGACCAGCAUAUGGCUAAAGACAGGGACUGGGAUCUGCAUCUGCAUCAUUUCCAAUUUGUCCGCACUCAGUUAUUCAGCUCGUAGAUGGGGGGGGGGGGUGUCCACACCUUCCCUACUCACUGGCUCUGUGUUCUCUUUUUUAAUCCAUCCUAAUACAUAAACAACAACACAAAAAAUACUGAGUUUUAACAAAAGAGGAUCUCCACCCUCCCUACUAACCGUUACUCCAUUUUCUCAAUGAACCCUCACCAUACACGCUCACUUCUCCCAGAUCAGCAGUCUCCAGUCUUUAGGAUGAGUGAGAAUUAGAUCCCUAGGCCACACUCGUUAAGAGAUUCUGAUUCAGUCAGUAAGAGGGGAGGCCCUGGAAUCUGUAUCUUUAAUUAACACAACCCAGCACGCACACCUUUCUGGUUCUAGGGAUGAUGCCAUGAGCAGCACGACCUUGGAUCCCAAACUCCUGACACCUGAGACUCUGGCCUUUCCUCCUCAACAGCCACCAGCCAAGGUGACAGAAACCAGGGAGAAUCAGGGCACCAAAGCUGCCACCACGGAGAAUGCCACGAGGACCUGCUACCGUCAUAUUGGGCCUUAGCUCCAGCCUGGGGACUGAGCAGCAGGCUUCCCGAGGCAGAGUCCCAUCCACCGAACACUCCAACCCUGACACCUCCUUCACUGGGACACAGGCCUUGAACACGGAGCUGGGUUCGAACCUUAAGCAGGUGUAACACUGAGCAACGCAAUGAAAUUCUGAGAUAUCUGUGAAACGGAAAGGACCACACUUGUCCCGGGCAUGGCUUUCUGCGGAGAUUCUGAGCCUGGGUGUCAUGGAACUUGGGGUGGGUUGGUAGGAAAAUAAAUAAAUGAACACCAAGAGAUUUACAAA